AAUUUUUUAAAAUCUUUUUCUCCAAAACUCAGAUACUCUUGUAUUAAUUACGUUAUUGAUUUGCAGAUCUUGAAAUACCAUUUAACUUGUUGGCAAAAAGUUUAAACAAGGAACAAAAAUAUCCAAAUGACAAGUUGGCAUUUUUGGUAAUGACAGAGGCUUCAUUUUGUAAGAACAAGGAUUCCACAAACCAUAUGCUUGGUGAAGAAAUGGCAAACAUUAGACUUCUACAAGAGGAUGGAUUAACAGUUGUAUGGACUGGCAUUGAUAAAGUCAGAGACCUUAAAAAGAAGAAGUCACUGAGUGCUUUUGCACGCCAGUUAUUUUUAGAGCUGUUGACAGGUUGAAGUCAAAGAACAUCAAAUAAAGAAAAGAUUUAGUAGUGUCUGUGUUUUCUGCCAUACAUGAAGGUUACAAGUGAUACAACUGUUUCCAGAUAGAUAAUACAUGUACUGUUUCCAGAUAAAUAAUGAAUGUACUGUUCCCAGAUAGAUUAUACAUGUACUGUUUUAGAUAGAUAAUACAUGUACUGUUUUUAGAUACAUAAUACAUGUACUGUUUCCAGAUAGAUAAUACCUGUACUGUUCCCAGAUAGAUAAUGAAUGUACUGUUUCGGGGUGGUUUAUACAUGUACUGUUUCCAGAUAGAUUAUACAUGUACUGUUCCCAGAUAGAUAAUGAAUGUACUGUUCCCAGAUAGAUAAUGAAUGUACUGUUCCCAGAUGAAUUAUACAUGUACUGUUUCCAGAUAGAUUAUACAUGUACUGUUCCCAGAUAGAUUAUACAUGUACUGUUCCCAGAUAGAUAAUGAAUGUACUGUUCCCAGAUGAAUUAUACAUGUACUGUUUCCAGAUAGAUAAUGAAUAUACUGUUUCAAUCAAUGGUGAUAGAAAAAUAAUUCAAAUAUUUUCUCACAAUAUGUAUUUCUCACAUUUUGUUGUUAAUUUUGUUGUUCAAAAGUGUUAUGAAAACAUUUUUAUAAAACAUAUAAUGAUAUUAUGCAUGAAAGUUUAUAUUUUUAGUAAUAAAAUGUUUCUUUUGUUAAAGAAAGUAAAUGUCACUGUAGUAAUUUU